rnacentral:rRNA from 1 species
UACAGAGGUGGCAAGCGUUGUUCGGAAUUACUGGGCGUAAAGGGCGCGUAGGCGGUCAGGUCAGUCCCGUGUGAAAUCCCUCGGCUCAACUGAGGAACUGCACGGGAAACUGCCUGGCUUGAGUUCGGGAGAGGGAAGCGGAAUUCCGGGUGUAGCGGUGAAAUGACGUAGAUAUCCGGAGGAACACCGGUGGCGAAGGCGGCUUCCUGGACCGACACUGACGCUGAUGCGCGAAAGCUAGGGGAGCAAACGGG